rnacentral:rRNA from 1 species
CCUACGAGAGGCAGCAGUGAGGAAUAUUGGUCAAUGGCCGGAAGGCUGAACCAGCCAUGCCGCGUGAAGGUCAGUGCCCUAUGGGCGUUAAACUUCUGUUGUGCGGGAGCACUACUGGUCACGUGUGGCCAGACGAGAGUACCGUACGAAUAAGCAUCGGCUAACUCCGUGCCAGCAGCCUCGGUAAUACGGGUGAUGCAGGCGUUAUCCGGAUUUAUGGGGUUUAAAGGGUUCGUAAGCGGUGAGGUAAGUCAGCGGUGAAAUGCCCCGGCUCAACGGGGUGAAGUGCCAUUGCUACUGCCUUGCUGGAAUGCGGAUGCCGUGGGAGGAAUGUGUGGUGUAGCGGUGAAAUGCAUAGAUAUCACACAGAACACCGAUUGCGAAGGCAUCUCACGAAUCCGCGAUUGACGCUGAUGCACGAAAGCGUGGGUAUCAAACAGGAUUAGAUACCCUUGUAGUC